AGCCGUGCGGUGAGCACAAAGCGAACUAUUCUUUCGCCUUUUACUAAAGAAUACCGUGUGCUCGCCGUUUACAACGGCAUACAUCAAUUUUUUAAGGGGAUUUUCUCUGGAUUUCC